rnacentral:rRNA from 1 species
GAUGAACGCUGGCGGCGUGCCUAAUACAUGCAAGUCGAGCGAACAGACGAGGAGCUUGCUCCUCUGACGUUAGCGGCGGACGGGUGAGUAACACGUGGAUAACCUACCUAUAAGACUGGGAUAACUUCGGGAAACCGGAGCUAAUACCGGAUAAUAUAUUGAACCGCAUGGUUCAAUAGUGAAAGACGGUUUUGCUGUCACUUAUAGAUGGAUCCGCGCCGCAUUAGCUAGUUGGUAAGGUAACGGCUUACCAAGGCAACGAUGCGUAGCCGACCUGAGAGGGGGAUGGGCAACAGGGGAGCAGAGACACGAACAAGACACCGACGGGAGGAAGGAGAAGGAAAUCUACGGAAAUGGGCAAAGGCGGGAGGGAGAAGCGCAGGGGGAGGAAGAAGGUUCUUGGAAUCAAAAACCUUUUUUAUAGGAAAAAAAAAAAUGUGAAAGUAAUAAGGCCGGAUUGAAGGAAACAAAAUAAAAAGCCCAGGCAAAACAAGGGC